UACGAAGGGGGCUAGCGUUGUUCGGAAUCACUGGGCGUAAAGCGCACGUAGGCGGAUUGUUAAGUCGGUCGUGAAAUCCCUCGGCUCAACCGAGGAACGUCGAUCGAUACUGCUGUUCUUGAGGAUUGCAGAGGAGACUGGAAUUCCCGGUGUAGCGGUGAAAUGUGUAGAGAUCGGGAGGAACACCGGUGGCGAAGGCGGGUCUCUGGGCAAUUCCUGACGCUGAGGCGCGAAAGCGUGGGGAGCAAACGGG
rnacentral:rRNA from 1 species